rnacentral:rRNA from 1 species
AGACGGGUGGUGCAUGGUUGUCGUCAGCUCGUGUCGUGAGAUGUUGGGUUAAGUCCCGCAACGAGCGCAACCCUUGUCAUUAGUUGCUACGCAAGAGCACUCUAAUGAGACCGCUACCGACAAGGUGGAGGAAGGUGGGGAUGACGUCAAAUCAUCAUGCCCCUUAUGACCUGGGCUACACACGUAAUACAAUGGCCGUCAACAGAGGGAAGCGAAACCGCGAGGCGGAGCAAAACCCUAAAAACGGUCUCAGUUCAGAUUGCAGGCUGCAACCCGCCUGCAUGAAGGUGGAAUUGCUAGUAAUCGCGGAUCGGCAUGCCGUGGUGAAUACGUUCCCGGGCCUUGUACACACCGCCCAUCACACCAUGGGAGUUUGCAACACCCGAAGUCCAUAGCCUAACCGCAAGGAGGACGUGGCCGAAGGUGGGAUAAGCGACUGGGGUGAAGUCGUAACAAGGUAGCCGUAUCGGAAGGUGCGGCUGGAUCACCUCCU